rfam:Pyrenochaeta sp. DS3sAY3a unplaced genomic scaffold IQ07scaffold_16, whole genome shotgun sequence.
AGCUGAGUGGCGCAGCGGAAGCGCGCCGGGCUCAUAACCCGGAGGACAUCGGAUCGAAACCGAUCUCAGCUA